rnacentral:rRNA from 1 species
CAGUAGCCGCGGUAAUACGAAGGGGGCUAGCGUUGUUCGGAAUCACCGGGCGUAAAGCGCACGUAGGCGGAUUUUUAAGUCAGGGGUGAAAUCCCGAGGCUCAACCUCGGAACUGCCUUUGAUACUGGAGAUCUUGAGUUCGGAAGAGGUUGGUGGAACAGCUAGUGUAGAGGUGAAAUUCGUAGAUAUUAGCUAGAACACCAGUGGCGAAGGCGGCCAACUGGUCCGACACUGACGCUGAGGUGCGAAAGCGUGGGGAGCAAACAGGAUUAGAGACCCGCGUAGUCCCUGUCUCUUAUAC